rnacentral:rRNA from 1 species
AAUAGAUACCCAGGUAGUCCACGCCGUAAACGAUGAGUGCUAAGUGUUAGAGGGUUUCCGCCCUUUAGUGCUGCAGCUAACGCAUUAAGCACUCCGCCUGGGGAGUACGGUCGCAAGACUGAAACUCAAAGGAAUUGACGGGGGCCCGCACAAGCGGUGGAGCAUGUGGUUUAAUUCGAAGCAACGCGAAGAACCUUACCAGGUCUUGACAUCCUCUGACAACUCUAGAGAUAGAGCGUUCCCCUUCGGGGGACAGAGUGACAGGUGGUGCAUGGUUGUCGUCAGCUCGUGUCGUGAGAUGUUGGGUUAAGUCCCGCAACGAGCGCAACCCUUGGUCUUAGUUGCCAGCAUUUAGUUGGGCACUCUAAGGUGACUGCCGGUGACAAACCGGAGGAAGGUGGGGAUGACGUCAAAUCAUCAUGCCCCUUAUGACCUGGGCUACACACGUGCUACAAUGGAUGGUACAAAGGGCUGCAAGACCGCGAGGUCAAGCCAAUCCCAUAAAACCAUUCUCAGUUCGGA